GUCCACGCUGUAAACGAUGGGUGCUAGGUGUGGGCGGUGUCGACUCCGUCCGUGCCGAAGCUAACGCAUUAAGCACCCCGCCUGGUGAGUACGGCCGCAAGGCUAAAACUCAAAGGAAUUGACGGGGGCCCGCACAAGCAGCGGAGCAUGUUGUUUAAUUCGACGCGACGCGAAGAACCUUACCAGGGCUUGACAUGCACGGGAAUGUCGUAGAAAUACGGCAGCCCUUCGGGGCUCGUGCACAGGUGGUGCAUGGCUGUCGU
rnacentral:rRNA from 1 species